UGGCUCAGUGGUAGAGUGCUUGCCUUGCAAGCAUGAGGUCCUAAGUUCAAUUCCUCAG
rnacentral:tRNA from 1 species